rnacentral:rRNA from 1 species
GAUGAACGCUAGCUACAGGCUUAACACAUGCAAGUCGAGGGGUAGCACGGAGGAAGCUUGCUUCCUUGGGUGACGACCGGCGCACGGGUGAGUAACGCGUAUCCGACCUACCCAUAACUCGGGCACAGCCGCUCGAAAGAGUGAUUGAUUCCCGAUAUGUCAUUGGAGUAGAUUCAAUGAUGAAAGAUUUAUCGGUUAUGGAUGGGGAUGCGUAAGAUUAGGUAGUAGGCGGGGUAACGGCCCACCUAGCCGACGAUCUUUAGGGGUUCUGAGAGGAAGGUCCCCCACACUGGUACUGAGACACGGACCAGACUCCUACGGGAGGCAGCAGUGAGGAAUAUUGGUCAAUGGGCGGAAGCCUGAACCAGCCAAGUAGCGUGAAGGAUUACAGCCCUACGGGUUUUAAACUUCUUUUAUAUAAGAGUAAUGUGCACUACGUGUAGUGUAUUGCAAGUAUUAUAUGAAUAAGCAUCGGCUAACUCCGUG